rnacentral:rRNA from 1 species
GAUGAACGCUAGCGGCAGGCCUAACACAUGCAAGUCGAGGGGUAACUAGAGUGAUAGCAAUAUUACUUUGGCUAGACCGGCGCACGGGUGCGUAACACGUAUGCAACCUACCUUAUACUGGGGAAUAACUUCGAGAAAUCGGCGCUAAUACCCCAUAACAUUGCGAAGAGGCAUCUCUUUGCAAUUAAAGCUCCGGCGGUAUAAGAUGGGCAUGCGUCCAAUUAGCUAGUUGGUGAGGUAACGGCUCACCAAGGCUACGAUUGGUAGGGGUUCUGAGAGGAUGAUCCCCCACACUGGUACUGAGACACGGACCAGACUCCUACGAGAGGCAGCAGUGUGGAAUAUUGCGCAAUGGACGAAAGUCUGACGCAGCCAUGCCGCGUGCAGGAUGACGGCCCUAUGGGUUGUAAACUGCUUUUGUACGGGAAUAAACCCUUCUACGUGUAGGAGGCUGAAGGUACCGUAAGAAUAAGCACCGGCUAACUCCGUGCCAGCAGCCGCCGCCGUAA